rnacentral:rRNA from 1 species
AAGGCAUACGGCUCAGUAACACGUAGUCAACUUACCCUAUGGACGAGGAUAAUCUCGGGAAACUGAGCAUAAUACUCGAUAGAUCAUAAUGCCUGGAAUGGUUUAUGGUUGAAAUGAUUCGUCGCCAUAGGAUGGGACUGCGGCCUAUCAGCUUGUUGGUGAGGUAAUGGCCCACCAAGGCGAUUACAGGUACGGGCUCUGAGAGGAGAAGCCCGGAGAUGGGUACUGAGACAAGGACCCAGGCCCUAUGGGGCGCAGCAGGCGAGAAAACUUUGCAAUGUGCGAAAGCACGACAAGGUUAAUCCGAGUGAUUUCUGCUAAAGAAAUCUUUUGCAAGUCAUAAAACCACUAGUGAAUAAGGGGGG